rnacentral:rRNA from 1 species
ACUACGGGUGGCAGCAGUGGGGAAUAUUGGGCAAUGGGCGCAAGCCUGACCCAGCAACGCCGCGUGAAGGAAGAAGGCUUUCGGGUUGUAAACUUCUUUUCUCAGGGACGAAGAAAGUGACGGUACCUGAGGAAUAAGCCACGGCUAACUACGUGCCAGCAGCCGCGGUAAUACGUAGGUGGCAAGCGUUAUCCGGAUUUAUUGGGUGUAAAGGGCGUGUAGGCGGGAGCGCAAGUCAGAUGUGAAAACUCAGGGCUCAACCCUGAGCCUGCAUUUGAAACUGUGUUUCUUGAGUGCUGGAGAGGCAAUCGGAAUUCCGUGUGUAGCGGUGAAAUGCGUAGAUAUACGGAGGAACACCAGUGGCGAAGGCGGAUUGCUGGACAGUAACUGACGCUGAGGCGCGAAAGCGUGGGGAGCAAACAGGAUUAGAUACCCGUGUAGUC